GUAGGGAAUCUUCCACAAUGGACGAAAGUCUGAUGGAGCAACGCCGCGUGAGUGAAGAAGGUCUUCGGAUCGUAAAACUCUGUUGUUAGAGAAGAACGUGCAUGAUAGUAACUGAUCAUGUAAUGACGGUAUCUAACCAGAAAGCCACGGCUAACUACGUGCCAGCAGCCGCGGUAAUACGUAGGUGGCAAGCGUUGUCCGGAUUUCUUGGGCGUAAAGGGAACGCAGGCGGUUUUUUAAGUCUGAUGUGAAAGGCUUCGGCUUAACCGAAGAAUAGCAUUGGAAACUGGAAGGAUUGAGUGCAGAAGAGGAGAGUGGAAUUCCAUGUGUAGCGGGGAAAUGCGUAGAUAUAUGGAGGAACACCAGUGGCGAAAGCGGCUCUCUGGUCUGUAACUGACGCUGAGGCUCGAAAGCCAGGGUAGCGAACGGGAUUAGAUACCCCGGUAGUCC
rnacentral:rRNA from 1 species